CAGGGAGCCCAGCAGCGUGGAUGCCGGGGACGCUAUGGCUUUGAGGACUGGCCCACCGAGCCAAAAGUGGAACCUGUUUGUCCACAAAUCCUUUUCCUCACCGUGAUGGCUGCUUUGCUUGAUGGAUCUGCAGCUGCUUGGCUUACUUUUUGAUUUGGCAGUGUCUGCAAGUUCGGCCAUCCCUCUGGACCCUUCUGAGUUCUCCCGGGGCUCUGAAUGCAGUCUUUUUUAUGCAAGGAUCUUGGACACGCAAGGGUGUGUGCGGCGCAAGCCUACAAACUCUCUCACCUCUACCAGAGAUAAUAAGGUUGAUGAUCCCAUGAACAAAAGAAGCAGCAAGAGUCUGGGAGGUUUGUGUAUUGCAGAAUAGAGGACCAGAAGACCAGCCCCGACAGGGAUUCAUCCUCAAAGAUGCUGAGAGACCGAACCUGCUGUUUUGCUCCCUGAUCCAUCCUGCCUCAAACUGAUGCAGUUUCCAGAGACUUGCUGCUAGAACAGCUUCAGGAAGGACUGCUGAUCCCAGAUGGCCUCGAUUCAUCCGGCCCUUCAGACUGAUGCAGUCAAGAGUUCACUUCAUCCACAUAUGUAGACCUGACAACCAAUGACGUCAGCCAGCUCUCUGUUGAUUUAUCCAUUUCCCCAGUUUCCUUCUGGGAUCCCAAACAGGAGUUCUUGGCCCCAAUGCAUCAGGAAGCAAUAAGAAGAAGACUGUCGUCCCAGUGGCGCAAGUUGGGGUGGAUGGUUUUGGUCAUCUAUGAAUUUAUACAUAUGUUAUUUUAAGGGAUGAUUAACAAAUAAUUAUAAUCUUGGAUGGGGAGGAAACUAAAUGGGGAAUUUAGAAUCAGGGAUUUCUAUCUUUUCCUUUUCUCUAUCCUUUCAGACAAAGGGAAGGGGGCAUGUGGUGGCACACGCCUGGCGAGAAGAAAAAAUGGAGAAUAUAGAGUUGUCAUAUAGAAAUAAAAGGGUAGAUUAUUGAAUCUACUCUGCAACUUAGAACUAUUGCUAUUUUCAAAUAAGGUUAUUUUUUGUUACAUUGGUACAAAAUGCUAUACAUUGAUACAGAUUUAAGGUUUUCAUUGGUAUAAAACUUUGUAUAUUGAUACAAAAUUUAAGGUUAAUUUGUUACAAUGUACUAUGUGUAAAUUUCAACUUUUGUUUGGGUAUUAUGCCUGUGCAACUCAUUUAAAAAUACAAGGUUUAGGGCUGGUGAGAUGGCUCAGUGGGUAAGAGCACCCGACUGCUCUUCCGAAGGUCCAGAGUGGUCUUUUUGACAUGGAGACGUGUCAACGCCUGGCAGAACCACACUGGACCUGGGAAAGGAUGCUGAGCAUCAGCAACCUCCAUGAGGAGUCGCUUCAACUGUGGAAAGCUCGCCAUAACCCUGUCCACAGACAGACAGAAUGCUGUCCGGAACGGAUGAACGGAGAGGCCUGCAGUUUUCAGGCCUUGGAGCAGGAAGUUGUACCUAUGUCAGUGGGCUGCCCAGCCCCUGCUGAAACAUCUGGAGGAAAGCUUGGCUUAGAACAGGCUGUUGCACCAAAACAUUGCACAGCCCCAAACUCCACCUCAGAUUCUUCAGGAGC
rnacentral:lncRNA from 1 species